AGAACGAACGCUGGCGGCAUGCCUAACACAUGCAAGUCGAACGAAGCCUUCGGGCUUAGUGGCGCACGGGUGCGUAACGCGUGGGAAUCUGCCCCUCGGUUCGGAAUAACAGUUAGAAAUGACUGCUAAUACCGGAUAAUGACGUAAGUCCAAAGAUUUAUCGCCGAGGGAUGAGCCCGCGUAGGAUUAGCUAGUUGGUAGGGUAAAAGCCUACCAAGGCGACGAUCCUUAGCUGGUCUGAGAGGAUGAUCAGCCACACUGGGACUGAGACACGGCCCAGACUCCUACGGGAGGCAGCAGUGGGGAAUAUUGGACAAUGGGCGAAAGCCUGAUCCAGCAAUGCCGCGUGAGUGAUGAAGGCCUUAGGGUUGUAAAGCUCUUUUACCCGGGAUGAUAAUGACAGUACCGGGAGAAUAAGCUCCGGCUAACUCCGUGCCAGCAGCCGC
rnacentral:rRNA from 1 species